rnacentral:rRNA from 1 species
GACGAACGCUGGCGGCGUGCUUAACACAUGCAAGUCGAACGGAAAGGCCCUGCUUUUGUGGGGUGCUCGAGUGGCGAACGGGUGAGUAACACGUGAGUAACCUGCCCUUGACUUUAGGAUAACUUCAGGAAACUGGGGCUAAUACCGGAUAGGAGCUCCUGCUGCAUGGUGGGGGUUGGAAAGUUUCGGCGGUUGGGGAUGGACUCGCGGCUUAUCAGCUUGUUGGUGGGGUAGUGGCUUACCAAGGCUUUGACGGGUAGCCGGCCUGAGAGGGUGACCGGCCACAUGGGGACUGAGAUACGGCCCAGACUCCUACGGGAGGCAGCAGUGGGGAAUAUUGCACAAUGGGCGGAAGCCUGAUGCAGCAACGCCGCGUGCGGGAUGACGGCCUUCGGGUUGUAAACCGCUUUCGCCUGUGACGAAGCGUGAGUGACGGUAAUGGGUAAAGAAGCACCGGCUAACUACGUG